CCUACGGGUGGCUGCGGUGGGGAAUAUUGGACAAUGGGCGAAAGCCUGAUCCAGCCAUGCCGCGUGUGUGAAGAAGGCCUUCGGGUUGUAAAGCACUUUCAGUGGGGAAGAAAGCCUUGGGGCUAAUACCCUCGAGGAAGGACAUCACCCACAGAAGAAGCACCGGCUAACUCCGUGCCAGCAGCCGCGGUAAUACGGAGGGUGCGAGCGUUAAUCGGAAUUACUGGGCGUAAAGCGCGCGUAGGCGGUCUGAUAAGCCGGUUGUGAAAGCCCCGGGCUCAACCUGGGAACGGCAUCCGGAACUGUCAGGCUAGAGUGCAGGAGAGGAAGGUAGAAUUCCCGGUGUAGCGGUGAAAUGCGUAGAGAUCGGGAGGAAUACCAGUGGCGAAGGCGGCCUUCUGGACUGACACUGACGCUGAGGUGCGAAAGCGUGGGUAGCAAAUAGGAUUAGAUACCCUAGUAGUC
rnacentral:rRNA from 1 species